AUUAGUUGAUUUGGUUAAUUUUGGUUUGAUUUCUUAAAUUUUCGUAUUUGUUUCUUGUUUUGACAAACUCUCAAUGCUACAUGUUAAUGCAUUGUGAGUUUGAGGGGAGAUGUUAGAGAAUAUGUAAUUGGGCUUUCUGGAUGUAUUUGGGCUAAGGGUAGUUUUGUCAAUUAUGCUUUACUAUAUAUUUAUAAGAUAACUUAUUGUAUUGCAACUUGGUUUUAUCCUAAUGUAAAAACCCUAGCC
rnacentral:lncRNA from 1 species